CCUACGGGAGGCAGCAGUGAGGAAUAUUGGUCAAUGGGCGGGAGCCUGAACCAGCCAAGUCGCGUGAAGGAAGAAGGUACUUAGUGUUGUAAACUUCUCUUGUCGGGGAACAAAGGCGGAGACGCGUCUCCGGAUGAGUGUACCCGCAGAAAAAGCAUCGGCUAACUCCGUGCCAGCAGCCGCGGUAAUACGGAGGAUGCGAGCGUUAUCCGGUUUUAUUGGGUUUAAAGGGUGCGCAGGCGGGAGAUCAAGUCAGCGGUAAAAUGUCGGGGCUCAACCCCGGCCGGCCGUUGAAACUGGUUGUCUAGAGUUGGAGAGAAGUAUGCGGAAUUCGUGGUGUAGCGGUGAAAUGCAUAGAUAUCACGAAGAACUCCGAUUGCGAAGGCAGCAUACCGGCUCCAUACUGACGCUGAGGCACGAAAGCGUGGGGAUCGAACAGGAUUAGAUACCCGGGUAGUC
rnacentral:rRNA from 1 species